rnacentral:lncRNA from 1 species
UCGUGAUAAGUCCCCUGGGACAAUUAUUAUUAUUUUUUGGAGAACAGAGACAGCAAACUUUUUCCGUCAGGAGUCAUUUUGUUCCAAAAUGGAGUUGGUACGCGUGCACGAGGUAGACCAAAGAAAAUUCAAAGGGGAAAACAAAAAAAAAAAAAAAAACACGAAAAUGAUGCUUCUAGAAAGCGUUUUGAAAGUCUUCUGAAAGUUUAGAAGAAACUCAAGUAAGACGAAAUGAGGAAAGGAACGCUAGAUUAAAAACGAUGCGCUCUGAGGCCAUGAAAAACGAUCGGAAGAAUCUGAGGGUGAAACAGCUGCUAAAUGUAUACAAAGAAUGAACUCUAUCGCCGUAAUCAGGAGAAUAUAUGUUCAAAAGCAGCAUCUGUGCGGCUACGUCAUUGGGGUUCUGCUUUUCUGCUUUUACCUAUAAUCCAUCUACAUUAUACGAAUCAGACACUGAUGUACUGAUUGGGAUCAUGUCAACAAUAUGUUGUCACUGUAAAGCUCUUAAAUUUAAAGAUGAGAAUUCAGGAAUUACUUUUAAAGAUUUAAUAAAAUAUUAUUUUUAUCUUUUAAAUUCUAUUAAAUUAGUUUGUAUAUGCAGCAAGGUGC